AACGCAUCUUGCGCUCCUUGGUAUUCCGAGGAGCAUGCCUGUUUGAGUGUCAUGAAGUUCUCAACCACCAUGUUUUGUGUGUGUGGCUUGGAUUUGGGGGUUAUUGUUUUGCUGGCUUCAUUUAGUCAGCUCCCCUGAAAAGCAUUAGUGGUAUCUGAGCAAAAACUACUAUAGGUGUGAUAACUAUCUAUGCCUUGGUAAAUGAUGCAUGAACAGACUACACUGCUUGCAAACUUUUGAAAUUGACACAUUUGACCUCAAAUCAGGUAGGACUACCCGCUGAACUUAA
rnacentral:misc_RNA from 1 species